rnacentral:rRNA from 1 species
AGGUUGGCUUAGAAGCAGCCAUCAUUUAAAGAAAGCGUAGUAGCUCACUGGUCGAGUCGGCCUGCGCGGAAGAUGUAACGGGGCUAAACCAUGCACCGAAGCUGCGGCAGCGACGCUUAUGCGUUGUUGGGUAGGGGAGCGUUCUGUAAGCCGUUGAAGGUGUCCUGUGAGGGGUGCUGGAGGUAUCAGAAGUGCGAAUGCUGACAUAAGUAACGAUAAAGCGGGUGAAAAGCCCGCUCGCCGGAAGACCAAGGGUUCCUGUCCAACGUUAAUCGGGGCAGGGUGAGUCGACCCCUAAGGCGAGGCCGAAAGGCGUAGUCGAUGGGAAACAGGUUAAUAUUCCUGUACUUGGUGUUACUGCGAAGGGGGGACGGAGAAGGCUAUGUUAGCCGGGCGACGGUUGUCCCGGUUUAAGCAUGUAGGCGGAGGUUCCAGGUAAAUCCGGUACCUUUUAACGCUGAGGUGUGAUGACGAGGCACUACGGUGCUGAAGUAACAAAUGCCCUGCUUCCAGGAAAAGCCUCUAAGCAUCAGGUAACACGAAAUCGUACCCCAAACCGACACAGGUG